rnacentral:lncRNA from 1 species
GGCGGAGACGAGGCCGCGGGGACCGCAGCGCCGGGCGACCACACCCUCGGUUUGGGGGACAAGCCUGCCUUUUGCGCACUUGGACUUUUCCCCACCCUCUUCUAAGUCUUAGUGCCUCCGUACCAGGUGACCGAAUAAACAACUGUGGUAGCUCUGUACAAUGGAGCGCUAUUCAGCACUGGAAAGAAAUGAAUUAUCAGAAAAGACAUGGAGGAUCCUAAAUGCACUUUGCUGAGUGGAAGAAGUCUGAAAACGCCAAAUACUGCAUGACUGCAACUCUGACAUUCUGAAAAGGACAAACCUAGUGGAGACAGUGGUUUCCAGGCUCAAGGAGAGGGAGUGAUGGAAGGCCGAACACAGAGGAUUUUUAGGGUCGUGAAACUAAUGAUGAAUACAUGUCAUUACGCAUUUGUCCAAACCCGUGGAAGGAACAACCCCAAGAGUGAGCCCUCAGAUAAAGAUUUGCCUGAGAUUCCCAAGCAUCUCAAUGCCGGUACCCACAGUUCCUACUCACAUUUGUCCAACGAAUGUGAAGAAAACAGCAACCAAAUGACAGCCACAGAAUUGCAUCAAAAUGCAUUUAAGGAGCAUCAGUGCGUUACCCCGGUUUCACGGGAGCCGGUGUUAUUCCAAGGGAAGCGAUGAAUCACGCAAGCCGUGUGGUACCUUUUCUUUGCAUCAUGCUGGGGAGCUGGCCUGUCUCCUCAUUCGUGACUUGAGGCUCCUCAGACACGAACUCUACUUGCCGGCGGAGAUGACUUGGCAUCCGUGGAUGUGAUCAAAAGAAGCCGCUCCUAGGUUCUUACAUGCUGUGUAACAUCUAAGAGACGCGCCACGGAAGUAGUUGGAAGCCGCUGAGGGCCCAGCCCGCACGCCCACCAGGCUGCCAGCCUAUUACUGAGCUGUCAGUUGUUGCAGACACAUGGAACCUGGCAUCUCUGAUUGGAAACCCUUGAAAACACAUUCCUCUGGGUGGUAAAGUCCGAUCAAGGCCUAGACGAGAGGUGUUUUGUGUUUUGUUUAAACAAGAGGACCUCGGACACAGGCGAAUGAUGAAACGGUCUGCUCGCUGGUAGCAAGAAUAUCGUUUACCGUGAAACUCGGUGUCAGGUCUGACAUGCUUUGCAUAUCUUUGGGGUUAAUCAUUCCUGAGAUGAAUUCCACACUUGUUCCUCUGCAUCGCAGCAAAAAGGCUUUGCUUUUUGUUCUGAGGGACAGGAGGUGCCAUGGCUCUGCCAGCCUCCUCCUGCCUGGACAUAACUCCAUGCCCCGUGGGGACGUCCCUGGGGGCGGCACGAAGCUCAUGUGUCCUGUGCUGGGGGCACAGCCACCCCCAGAAUGAACCCCCAUGUCAGAGCGAGAUUUGGGUCAAUGACCCACCAGCCCCACCGGCAGCCCCCUCUAAGUCACUGCGCUUUCAAGAAACGGUUGGAGGAUCCCAGAGUCAGACUCCCUCCCAGACCAAGCAGCCGUGGGGCUGAUGGCCUGUGCUCGGCCCAGGGGCCAGGGAGGUGCGACAGCCACUGCCCGCGUGUCCCCCCCUGUGCCGGGGUGGGGCGGGGAGCCCCCACAGCGGGGACACAGACAAACACGACCAAUGAGGUCCAGGGCACUGCCAGGUCCCUCGUCACGUCUUCCCACCCUCACACUGGCCUGUGUGAAAUGAGAGCCGACUGACCCAUCCAGUGCGUUAUUUCUUUUUUGUUUUUCUUUUUAGGGCGGCAUCUGCGGAGGUUCCCAGGCUAGGGGUCGAAUUGGAGCUACAGCUGCUGGCCUACACCACAGCCACAGCAACACCAGAUCCGAGCCGCGUCUGUGAUCUGUGCCUCGGCUUGUGGCAACACCAGAUCCUUAACCCACUGAGCAAGGCCAGGGAUGGAACCCGCAUCCUCAUGGACACUAUGUCAGGUUCUUAACCCACUGGGCCACAGCGGGAACGGCCCCAGUGCAUUAUUUCUAAUGAUUUGGUUCCUGCCUGCAAGGGGUCUGUCUGGCAGGUGAAACACAUUCAUGCGAAAAGAUGACUCCUACAGCCGACCUCUCAGGAGUGACCUCUGUGCGUUGCCUGAUCGCCCUGUGCCUCGGUGUUCUCAUCUGUAACAUGGGGGUUAAGACUACCUUGCAGAAGAGAUAGGAAGUCAAAGUACUGUCUGCAAAGCAUCUAGCACGGACCAAGUCUGACCACACGUGCUUAAAAAAUGGCGAUUAUUAUUAUUGUUAUUGUUUAACUAAGAAAGAAACAGGAGAUUAGGAUUUGGAAUAAGCGAGGCUGGGGUGGUGGCUGCUGUCUAGAGACUGCUAAAUAGGCACAGGAUCAGCGCCGGGCACUGGUGGAGGCCCACGUGGCAGUAGAACCGGGAAAGGGCAGCUUCCGGGCUCUCGUGCCAGCUCUGCACUUGGCUUCAGGCUUCUCUCAGAGCGUCAUCUAUCGAAGACCAGGACAGGAGCAGGUGUCACCCACGCCCUCUCAGCUGGCUCCACACCAGGGCCUCAGGAGCCCCCACAGCAACACGCGGAGCUCAUGAUGAAGCCUCACCCACAGAAGCAGGAAGGACUCACGCGAGUGUUGGAAGCCGUGCUGAACUGGCGUCUCCACUGUGGUAACUGGCUCAGCCUGGACUCUCUGAGUGGCCACAGAGGAGAGGAGAGCUGAGCUGGUGCUUCCUUGCGGGAGGUAUAAAGUAUUAUUUCAUGCGUGUAUUUGAAGGACUAUUAUUAUUAUUAUUACUGUCUUUUUAGGGCCACACCCACAACAUAUGGAAGUUCCCAGGCUAGGGGUUGACGGGGAGCUGCGGCAGCUGGCCUAUAUCACAGCCACAGCAAUGCAGGAUCCGAGCUGUGUCUGUGACCUACACCGAAGCUCAUGGCAACGCUGGAUCCUUAACCCACUGAGCGAGGCCAGGGAUCGAACCCACAUCCUCAUGGAUACUAGUCAGGUUUGUUAAGUGCUGAGCCACAGUGAGAACUCCUAGAAGGAUUAUUUUAAUGAUUUAAUUGAAUUCUAUCCCUCUCUCACCAUGGAAAUGCAAAGUAUAAAAGGAAAACCUUUGGAUUUUGUGCACACCAGGACCGAACAGGGGGGAGUGGGCAGUUUUCUAUCAAAAGGUUUCUGCAGACAGUUUCACCCGUAGCUACCACUGGAUGUGGGUCAUUGCAUCGGUCAGCCUUCUUAGGUGUAAGCAACAGAAACCAAGUUUGCUAUUGUAAGCAAAAUGGAAUUGAUUAAAAAGGUAUUGGGACGAGUUCCCUGGUGGCCUAGUGGUUAAAGAGCUAGAAGUGCUACUGCUGUGGCUCAGAGCACUGCUGUGGCGCAGGUUGGAUGCCAGGCCUGGAAACCUCUGUAUGCCACAGGCGUGCCCCCCUGCCGCCCCCAAAGGGUAUUGAGAUGCUCAAAAAACUCUCUAAGAAGGAUGAAGAUCCAGGCUUGGAAGCUAUGCAGCCAGGAACAGCCUUCUCCACCCACAUCAAGAAGUGCUGCUGCUGGGAGUGUGUGCAGGGGAGAUAGAUUAGGAAUUCGGGGUUAACAUUUACACACUACUGAAUAUAAAAUAGAUAAACAACAAGGACCUACUGCCUAGCGCAGGGACCUCUAUAUCCUAUAAUAACCUAUAAUGGAAAAGAAUCUGAAAAAAA